AUGCUAAAAAUGAUACUAUACGAAGAGGAAUGCAUUUUAAAUUGAUUUCAGCUGAUUUCACUUCAAUUUUCAUUGAAAUUUUGAAGUUUUUGGAAAAAAAAUUUUGCCCCUUAUUUUUCGGGCCAACUUUGAAGGGAGAAAGUUAAAGUUUGUACCAGUUUUAUGCUAUUAUGCCAAAUGCGGUACACCCCUUUUGAGAGGCACAUUUUAUGCUAUUUGUUACUUGAUUUGUUUGAAAAUUCCCUUUGGAGAUGUAAUCGAACGUUUAAAGUGCUGAUGAGCCAUCAAACGGAGCCCGAUGCAAAAAUGCCUAAUUAUUUAAAAAAUGGUUUUAAAGGAUGUCAUCAUUUUGAUAAAAUCAACGUAAAAAGAUGUUCACUUAUUUUCACCAUGAUUUAUUUUCACUGUGUUUUUGUUUUUGUUGUAUUAUGGAGACUUCUACUUGCUUUGUAGUGGGUUAUGCAAUCAAACGAUCAAAGUUGUUUCUGAAUGACUGAUUUUGCUGUUCUUUUUGUUUUUGUUUUCCUCUUCUGGUAACCGUUUGACUGGGAUACAAUGCACGAAUAACAUAAUGUCUACGAUAACUUUGCCGAAAAAGAAACUAGAACCAAAACCGAAACACUUUCUUCGAGGACGUCUUUUGUCGUGACCCCAAAUUGCUUUUCACACGUGUUGAUUUUCUUUACCUUGAAACCACGUGUGCCUGGUUUCCCACGCUGUUUGAUUAAAUGUAUUUUUUUUAUUGGGGUUUAAUAAUUAAUUAUUUUUUACGAUUAACCAUAUCAUAUCUACCGAUGCAAAUUUGUAUUGUGAAGUUUUUUUUUUUAUUAUUUUUACUGUUUUGCUUUAAUGUUGUGUAUUUCGCUGAAUAUAAAUACAACACAUUACUAUUAAAAUACCAAACAAUACGAACGAACGCCUAUGAACUAACAAGUUAGAUAACCCCCGGGGGAAAAAGAACAGGUGGAUGCGCGAUUUUGAUGAGUUUUGUGAGGGGUGAUGAAAAUGGCCCUUCUACCAAUGGGUGAGUAGUGUUAAAAAUGUCUAUCGAGAAAAAGUGUGGAAAGCUAAUCAAAGUUCCACCAGCCAGGUACCAGGGUUAAAUUAGGGGCAGGUGACGUGGCAACUAAUAAUCGAACAAAUGUAGAGAGUAUAAAAAAUGAGUACAAAAGCGGUUUCGCGCCGUGAAAAUGAACUAUGAUGGGGCAUAACGAAAAAUCUCUAACAAAUCCAUACUCAUUCAGUGGUGGUGAAAAAACGGAAAAGAGUUUCCCAGAACUAAGUCACUCGCUAUUACAAACACCGAAUUGUUAUGUGUACCAGAAAGAAAGUAAAAAGCUAAGUUUUGCGUUUCCAUCGCUCAAUAGCCAUACAAUUUCGGGGAAAAUAUGUGAAAAUUCCUUUCAAACGAUCGCUUCUGUCAAUAGAAAAUGGGUACGUGGAAGGUUAAGUGGAUUUGAAAGGGGUAGGAAAAGGAAAUCUAUUGGUUGGAAAUAGCUGAAAACUUAAGUACAGUCAUCCCUCAUAUUCGGAACAGUUUACAGAUCGGCCAAUGUUAAAAAAAUCAUAGAAAAUCGAUAAUUGAACUUAAUGAUUCGCUUCUACCUUCAUUUGAAAACUUUUCUUGCGAUCUUUAGAAUGCUGUAUCGAACUUGCUGUAUUUUUACUUUUAAAUCAAGUUUUUGAAGAAAAACUUUGACCCUUGAAAUCCACAAAUUCGGAACACUUUUUUCUUACGGAUGUAAACAAACUUUAGUUCUCUCCAGGAGUACACAUUUUUUACAAAAUAAUGACUUCACGCACUGAAACCAACGAAACUCAAGCUUAGUUAUGUGUUAUGAAUGGUCUGAUAACUUUUUUGUAAAAAAUAUCAGUUAAAUUCAGGUGUUCCACAAUUGUGGGAGGCACAAUAACAUCCCACAAUCAUAAAACAGGCAAUUUGGAGGCAGAGUUUUGCUGCUCUGGAUAAAAUAGUCUUGAAAUAAGGUUUUUUGUUCAAAAAGUACAACUUUUACUAGUGAAAUAGCAAGAGAAUGUCCAAAUAAAGGUCCUAAAAAUAGUAGGGUCGACAAAAAAGCUGCAUUUGGCAUGUUAUUGACAAAUUACCACAAAAGUGUUCCGAAUUUGUGGGUGUUCCGAAUAUGUGGGAUGACUGUACGACAGAGGUAGAAUAGUUUUUUUUUGCUGUUGUAAUGAGUCAGUUUUUUAUUUGCUUAUUCGGAGUAGUUCUGCGCUAAAAAAGCUUCCCCAGGCAGGGGAUGAAAAGUCCAACAGCCCAUCGAUCGGUUAACAUUGGUUUUAAAUAUAUGUAUAUGAGAUAUGUGAGUAUGCCUAUUGUUCAUAUAAUGAAAAUAAACGUAACAUACAAGUAAGUUCAUCCUUAUAAAUAUAUAUGCAUUAAAUAUAAGUAAGACAAACCAUCUCCGCCACAUUGAAAAAAAAAGUUUGAUAAAAUUUAUACCGGGCUGUGAAAUUUCAACAUUUCGCCUGUUGGACCCCCGUGCGCGCACCCCUCUGAAUACCGAUGGUCGCGAGGGGUCCAACAAGGGACUUCUCACUCAACAAAUUUGAUGUGACACAGGCGUUUCCAAAGGGGGGAGAACCUUUCGAACGGUCCCAAAAGAAUCUCCCCACCCACGAUGUGUCGCCUGCCGGGGGGUCUUAACUCUUUCGGAAAGACUCGUUUUUGAAGAUAUUUAGCAGGGUUGACAACCUCCGCCCAAAGACCCUCAAACGUCAGCAGCCCCCGUCGGCAAGGGAUAAGCUAAUAUCCAACAACAAAUUUGUGACAACGAGAUCCCCCUUCGAGGGGGUCCCUGUCUAUCACCUGCCUGAGGAUUUUUAAAACACGUGAAAUAAGAUUUGUAUUGUUUUUUUUCAUGAUCUCGAAGGGUCCACCACCGCCCCUUGUGUGACCUCCCCAAACAGAACCUUGCCAAUGCAAGAAACUUCCAAUCCGGAAAGCCACCAAGAAGCGUGUGGACCCCUCAUCUACCAGUAAAAAAAAGAAAGGGGCAGUACAGUUUAAAAAAUAAUAAAGGAAAGAAAAAAUAAAGAAAUAAAAUGUGAGGUACUUAUCGAUUGACCGGUCCCUCGAUUUUUUGUUUUGUUUUGGUCUGAGUUCGAGGAGGUAAGAUUGCGAAAGGGCUUACGAACGGACGGCC